AGUACAGCGACAGAAGGCAGGGAGAACAGAGACUGGGGCAGAGCUCUGACCAGGAGUGGGUGGUCGGGGUCAGGCCGGCACUGCCAGCCAGCAUCGCGGGGGGACCUCGCGCACCAGCUGGUUCAAGCGAAGCACGCAAGCAGGACGAGCAGAGCAAAAAGCAGACGGCACGGCUGGAGCAGAAAGAGGGGAAAACCGGAGAGAGAGCUUGAGCGAGAGGGGAGUUUUCGGAGAGACAGAGAGAGACCUGGAGGGAGAGAGUGAAACUUGAGAGCGAGAAGGAGUUUUCUAGCAGAUCGGCCACGCUCGAACCCUCUUCGACGACCUCUGGCCAAUACCCUCUAGCAUACGAUCUUUCGCUCCCGAAUCUCCGCGUCGCUGAGAACCGUAUUUUUCUAAGGGAAAAUUCAGUCGAGAAGCAUGCUUACAGAAGAGUUCAAGAGCAUGACCAUCAUUCAUAGGAUGAUCCGGAUUCCCAGACCAAACUAAGUUAGCGCCUCAGCCAAUGGUUUAAUUUGGUUGAAGUGGUCCACAUCAUCGAAGACAACGAGAACUCUUCGUGUUCGGAAUAGUCUUUCUAUCAAUGUGGUACUAUCAUUCGACGUUUUCACAUCUGGUGGUUCUCUUCUAUUGAGGUCUUGAAUUAACUUAUUCUGCAGAGAUACCACUCCAUACUGUUCAAUAUCAUCUCGAACAUUUUCAAGAAAACUACAACCAUCAAAGAGGCAACUGAUUUUGUUGUAUACAACCUUUGCGAGAGUGUUUUCGCCAACCCCUGGUAAAUCGCAUAUUGCAACCACGCAUUUCCCCAUCGUCUUCUGUCCUUCAACAACUUGUCCAUUCUCAAAACUGACACCAAGUUUUUUCAUCAUAUCUCACACAUCUCUGUUUAUUCCAACUAAAUCUUUAGGCAGGCAUUGCUCAUCCAUUCUUUAACAGUUGUCUAAGUUGGGAAACAACAUUCUUUAGAAAUUCAUGACACCUACAAAAUGAAAGACAGGUUUUUUUUAGAUAGAAGACGGACAUGCUGAUUUUACUGCAACAUUAGAGAGAAGACAAGACGAGAUAUGAAAAUGCAUUGCUAUUAAAGAAAAGAAAAAUCCCAAGAAGUUAAUUGAUCUAGAAGGAGCACGGUGAGCAUGUUAAUACGCUAGCCAUUUCUCCGAUCUUUUCAUUCUGAAGGCUAGACAAGUAAAGCAAGACUAAUCAAGCCGUCAGACUUAUCCCAUGUCCACAUCCUCCAAUUCAAAUGCCAAAAUCCCAGCAAUAUUUGCCAGAGCAUUCUUCCACUUUGUGAUUGUCUCGGCAUACC